CUCACAGCAAGGCUUAGCUGGGAUACUUAUGCUUAUUUACAAUGCAAUACUAAUUAGGGUAAACCUAACUAUCUUAAAGAGUCAGGGAGAAAUAUUAAAAA